CCUACGGGAGGCAGCAGUGGGGAAUAUUGCGCAAUGGGCGAAAGCCUGACGCAGCAACGCCGCGUGAGUGAUGAAGGCCUUCGGGUUGUAAAGCUCUGUCUUCUGGGACGAUAAUGACGGUACCAGAGGAGGAAGCCACGGCUAACUACGUGCCAGCAGCCGCGGUAAUACGUAGGUGGCAAGCGUUGUCCGGAUUUACUGGGCGUAAAGGAUGCGUAGGCGGAUAUUUAAGUGAGAUGUGAAAUACCCGGGCUUAACUUGGGUGCUGCAUUUCAAACUGGAUAUCUAGAGUGCAGGAGAGGUAAGUGGAAUUCCUAGUGUAGCGGUGAAAUGCGUAGAGAUUAGGAAGAACACCAGUGGCGAAGGCGACUUACUGGACUGUAACUGACGCUGAGGCAUGAAAGCGUGGGUAGCAAACAGGAUUAGAUACCCUUGUAGUC
rnacentral:rRNA from 1 species